GUUGUGCAGAGACAACGGGCUGCCUCGCUAAACGAUGCACACCUGUAACUCACGUGACCCUGGUUAUUAUUGAAACGAGAACGAGGGCGUCGUGCCUUUAUAAGACUGCGUUAAUGGUUCCGUGGAGUCAUCCCUUCCGUUGUUGUUUAUUGAUUGUUAAACAUGGCUUCAUUUGCAAAGGUGGUUGUGUGUGUCCUCAUUGCUUGUGUCUGUAAUGCAUUCGGUUUUCCGAAGAGAGAUGUGAACUUUAAGGCCUCUGCAGUUGACCGCCAAAGUGAUGAUGUGGUUGUCACCACAACACCCGUUCCCCACAACCAGACCACCUCUGCCCCUACUGAAGCUGGUGGUGGUGCAAGUGAAUAUGCUGUGGCUACUACCCCAGCACCUAAUCCACACAACCAGUCAACUUCUGCACAAACUGAAGUUACUGAUGGGGCCAGUGAAGAUGCUGUGGACCGCCAAAGUGAUGAUGUGGUUGUCGCCACAACACCCAAUCCCCACAACCAGACCACAUCUGCCCCUACUGAAGCUGGUGAUGGAGCAAGUGAAGAUGAUUCAGAUGAUGAUGAUGCUGCAAGUGAAGAUGAUGAUUCUGCAAAUGAAGAUGAUGAUGCUGCAAGUGAAGAUGCUGUGGCUACCACCCCAACACCAAAUCCCCCAACUACAUCUCACCACACUGCAGCUACCGAUGAUGCAAGUGAGGGUGCUGUGGCUGCCUAAACUGGAACUACUGUAUCCCAUACGACUGAAGUCUGAUUCGACUGCUCCUCUGGUCACAAUAACCUGUCUGGACUUUUUGCCUCUACAUGUUGACUGCAAUAAAGGACAGAUUUUGUAUUUUUUUUAAUCAAAUGUUGUCUUGCCUUUUUCAAAUUGAGGCCUUGUCCUGUUUUGGUAGUGGAGAUGACUAUGAAGCCUCUUUUCUAACGUAUUUCCUG
ensembl:lncRNA